CCUACAGGUGGCAGCAGUGAGGAAUAUUGGUCAAUGGACGAGAGUCUGAACCAGCCAAGUAGCGUGAAGGAUGACUGCCCUAUGGGUUGUAAACUUCUUUUAUAAAGGAAUAAAACGAGGCACGUGUGCCUUUUUGCAUGUACUUUAUGAAUAAGGAUCGGCUAACUCCGUGCCAGCAGCCGCGGUAAUACGGAGGAUGCGAGCGUUAUCCGGAUUUAUUGGGUUUAAAGGGUGCGUAGGUUGUUUUUUUAGUCAGCGGUGAAAGUUUGUGGCUUAACCAUAAAAUUGCCGUUGAAACUGGAAGACGUGAGUGUGUGUGAGGUAGGCGGAAUGCGUGGUGUAGCGGUGAAAUGCAUAGAUAUCACGCAGAACUCCGAUUGCGAAGGCAGCUUACUAGGCCAUAACUGACACUGAAGCACGAAAGCGUGGGUAUCAAACAGGAUUAGAUACCCCUGUAGUC
rnacentral:rRNA from 1 species